GGGGAUGUAGCUUAGUGGUAGAGCACUUGCCUCGCAUACACAAGGCCCUGGGUUCCACCCCCAGCACCA
rnacentral:tRNA from 1 species